rnacentral:rRNA from 1 species
GGCGAACGCUGGCGGCGUGCUUAACACAUGCAAGUCGAACGGAAAGGCCCUGCUUUUGUGGGGUGCUCGAGUGGCGAACUGGUGAGUAACACGUGAGUAACCUGCCCUUGACUUUGGGAUAACUUCAGGAAACUGGGGCUAAUACCGGAUAGGAGCUCCUGCUGCAUGGUGGGGGUUGGAAAGUUUCGGCGGUUGGGGAUGGACUCGCGGCUUAUCAGCUUGUUGGUGGGGUAGUGGCUUACCAAGGCUUUGACGGGUAGCCGGCCUGAGAAGGUGACCGGCCACAUUGGGACUGAGAUACGGCCCAGACUCCUACGGGAGGCAGCAGUGGGGAAUAUUGCACAAUGGGCGGAAGCCUGAUGCAGCAACGCCGCGUGCGGGAUGACGGCCUUCGGGUUGUAAACCGCUUUCGCCUGUGACGAAGCGUGAGUGACGGUAAUGGGUAAAGAAGCACCGGCUAACUACGUG